CAGCCAGUCCGACCGACAGUCAAGUGGAGAAACUAUUGUAAAUGUGUUCUGCGUAUUUGUUUCCUGGUGAAACCUAUGCCAGAUUCCCCAAAAGAUUUUCACAAGAAUUGAGAGUGGUGUUACUGCGAAAAGAAAGAUAAAGCAGCAAUAACCCAGAAAGCGAA